GGUGGCUCAGUAGUAGAGCACCUGCCUAGCACGUGUGAGAUUCUGGGUUCAAUCCCCAGCACCA
rnacentral:tRNA from 1 species